AGGAACAUUAAAAAACUUUUAGUUUAUAAAGAUUGGCAAAAAAAAACACAAUCGGUUCAUAAAGUGAAACCGAAAAAUAACGUUCCAUGGUCUGAGACCGCAGCCGGAACCGAAAAACCGGUCAAGAACGGUUUAGAAAAAUUCCCUUAAGACAGAACUGCAUCAGAUAAGUUUAAUGCUGAACUGAGUCACAACACUAAUACAUAAUUAUGUACUAAAGAUACUCAAAGAAGCAAAAAUUCAUCUCAUCUCUGCUUCUCUCUUGAGCUACAGAGCAAUAUGAUUUUACACUUAUUUUAAAUGAUACAUUUGUUAACAAUUGGUUAUCAUUAAUAAAAGAUACACUUGUGCCAAGUGGAAUUAUUAGGAUGUAAAUCGAAUUAUAAAUACUUCAUCUCUUCUCAGAGAUACAAUCAAUUUCUUUUCUCCGUCUUCAAGUAUGAAAAUCUUCUUCUUCCUCUCCGUCCUCAUCGCUGUGCUACUUUCCUUCACGACUGGAACGAAAGUCGACGUUGGGCCCGAUGAGCAUUUCAUUCAGUGUGAUCCAAAUGCAGCUGUAGAUACGUGUCCAGCCGACCAUCACUGUGGACAAACGGGACCAACAUAUUCUUGUAUUCUUACGAAGGAUGUCACCGACGAUUAAUUUAAGAACAAAUUGUACUCUCUAUUGUAAUAUGUAGUCGGAAAUAAACGAUUAACCGAAUCCUUUACUCAUUGAUUUAAAUUUAAAUGAUUCGUUCUUUAUAUUAUAUUUUCAGACAAUGAAAUAAUGAAGAGGUUCAUUUGAAAACGUUAAGUCAGGGUAGGGUCUAACUCCAUUUCCUCAUAUACAAAUAGUAAAUGUCAUUUCUUUGCUUCCACGUUAUAUUGAUGUAUUUUGACAUACAAUCUAACGAAUAAAAGAUUGAAACGAAUUUUGAUUCCAAAUUGAGUCGCAAGCCUUCAAAAUAUGGACAGGAGUAGCAAGUCUGGAGUCAAAGUCCUCACUUCCGUCAUUAACUCCCAGUACCAAUGGGUGAAUGUCUCUAGAAUGUGCAUUUGUCCCAAAAAAUUAAGAACGCGUCGUGAUUGGACACAAUCGCUAUCCUAUAGAAAUUGACUUUGCUAAAUGACGUCAUCAAAUAUAUCAGCGAGUGAAGUUUUCAUCAAUCAAUCUCAAAUAUAAAGGAUUAUAUGUCUCCACAAAUAUGAUAUACUUCAAAUUGGGCUUGAAUGAAGACACGUGACAAAUUAUUCUUGUACCUGAAAGUGAAAAGGAUUCCUUGUAGAGGACGUGUUCUAAAUUUGGGGCUUUUCAUCGACUGAUAAUAGGGAUGGGAGCAGUACAAUAUUGGCAAUCUAUACAAUGAAACAAGACCAACUCAUAUAAUACGUAUGUAGUCAGUCAUUUUUCAAGUUGAACAAGAUAAAAAUGUUGAAAUAAUCAACGAAUGAAGGAAAAUAUAAUGAAGUGUGGAAAGAGAAAAAAAUAAUGAGGAGAAAUGAACAAAAUUGACAAAUGGAGAGAAAGAAAAAUGAAGGCCUGUGGGAAUUCAAAAAAAUAUUUUCAUGCUUCUAUCUUCUCAAUUUCCUUGAAUUUCCCUUGUAAAAAUUACGGAUAAAAGUUGUUCUUUUUCUACGAAGUCGUUUAUGGAGUAAAUAAUUUAUCUAUGAGAAUUUUUUCCUCUAAAACUUUCUUUGUCUCAUUCGCAUGUGAUUGUACGAGUACAUAUUAUGUAGAUUUAAAUCCCUUCUUUACGAUAAUCAUAGUUCUCUAGUUGAUGUAUGCAAAAAUAUAGAGUUGUAAUAAGUUU
rnacentral:lncRNA from 1 species